rnacentral:rRNA from 1 species
UACAGAGGUCCCAAGCGUUGUUCGGAUUCACUGGGCGUAAAGGGCGCGUAGGUGGUUCUGUAUGUCUACCGUGAAAGCGUACGGCUCAACUGUAUUUUGUCGGUGGAAACUGCAGGACUUGAGGCUGGGAGGGGCUGGUGGAAUUCCCUGUGUAGCGGUGAAAUGCGUAGAGAUGGGGGAGAACACUCGUGGCGAAGGCGGCCAGCUAGACCAGUUCUGACACUGAGGCGCGACAGCGUGGGGAGCAAACAGG